UACAGAGGUCUCGAGCGUUGUUCGGAUUCAUUGGGCGUAAAGCGCACGUAGGCGGUCUGCUAAGUCGGUUGUGAAAGCCCCCGGCUCAACCGGGGAAUUGCGUUCGAUACUGGCAGGCUUGAAUCCGGGAGAGGGAUGUGGAAUUCCAGGUGUAGCGGUGAAAUGCGUAGAUAUGUGGAGGAACACCGAUGGCGAAGGCAGCCUUCUGGGCCAACACUGACGCUCAUGCACGAAAGCGUGGGGAGCAAACAGG
rnacentral:rRNA from 1 species